GCCGGGGGACGCCCUGCGAGGACACCCGAGCCCCAGGCGACACCUGCCUGACACACCCGCCCAUCCCCGGCGACUCCGCAGAGCCUCCCGUCUCUUACCUCACCGACGGCGGUGGUAACUGCUUUACGGCACUCACGGCAACUGCUGCAAAAGGGGCCGUCAAGUGCGGGGCGGCGGGCGCGCGGCUGGUGGGUGUCGGAGGCCUUCCCACCUUCCCCGCCCGCCUCGGCGCGUCCGCGACUCCUGCAGGCCUCCCCCCCUCAGAGGGCAGGGCUGAGCCCGGGCGACGUCCUGGCUAAGGCCCUUCCCCCGUCGUCGCGGCAACCACAGCCGGCACCGAGGCGGCCCGCGCCUUUAGGGAGCGGCCCGAGAACUGGGGAGGCACCUGCCGAGCUGUUGGCAGAUGAAAGCACAGGCUGCCAGUUCAAUGAGGUUGAAGGGCACGCGCGGCUCCCACGCUCCCGCGGCUGGUGGACCCGGUUCGGUCUGGGAUGGACACGCACGCGGUUCCGGAACCGGCUCUCUACCUUCUAACAGUGUAAUUAAUCCAAAAGACCAGCUGUCAAUCAACUUUUGCGUGAAUUUUGGAAACUAUAACGCAUUAAAUGGUAGUCAUUUCUACAAAAAUUAUCAGCUUAUAGUAAAAACUGAAAAUACUCCCCUCAUAUAUUUGUCUUCUAAACUGACUUUUGGAAGAGUAUAAAAAAUGAAAAAUCUUUUUCCUAUUUCCAAGGGUUAUGACCUAUAGCAGUUUGUUUUUCCUUCCAGGAAAUUUGUGUACGUACAAGCUUCUUCUGGAGAAGUCCUCAUUACUGAGAACUAGUUUUUCUGUAUUCUUAGAGCUUUUUGUUGGUAGGUUAAUAAAAAAUGUAGGUGACAUCCAGGAGGAGGAAGUUAUCACACUAAUGGGACCAUCGGACACAGGUGUUAACUUUAGGGACCUAAAAUGGGAAAUUUUGAGCAUCCAAAUGAGUAACUGCUAUUGACUGAAACACAUCAAAUAUAUAAAAAUUUUUGCUUCAUAAUGAUUUCUUAAAACUGAAACUCCUUAGUCAUAUUUGAAAGUUUCCAGGCCACCAACUCAUUAUCCUGAAACUUGAUAAAGGAAAAAAUAAGUAUUCAUCCUGCCUUUCUUGUAUGAAUUGCAUUUCAGUGUAACCAAAAUGCUAAUGAAAAUCACAUCUGAUAAAUAAUGAAUGAUUGAACAAACACCAGUUUGUUACUCCAAUGAAAUAAUACAAAGGACAAUACUCAUCAAUAGAUGCUAAAAUUAAGGUGAAAUGUUGAUGAGCAACUUUUUAGUAGAUGAAUUAGGCUGCCAUCACCUGAACCCACUGAUUAAUCUUACCAUUAAAUCUGGGACAACCAGACAUUAUGUAAGUCCUAAUGCGAUGCAACAGAAAAUACACAUCACCUGUAAAGGAUUCUUGUCUAAAAAUUGAAUCUACAUUUAAUAAAACUCUAGAUUUAAUGUCCGGUAUAGAGAAGUGACCAGCAUUUAACAAGGGGGGAAGCUACUACAAAAUCAGAGAUUUAAGAGACAUAUAACCAAAUACAAUGUGUGGACCUUGUCUGGAUCCUAAUUUGUUGAAAGCCACCAUAAAAAAAACACACAAACAAUUUUGAGACAACUGAAAUUUUAACAUGUACUCAGUCAUUAGAUGAUAUUAGGAUUGCUGUUAAUUUUACUAAGAAUGUUAACAGUGUGGCUGUGCUUAAAAAAUAAUCAUUGAUGCAUAUUGCAAUACUUAUCCAUGUCAUUUUUAGAUACCUUAAAGAAUAGCAAACUUUAACAACUGAUAAAUCUAGGCGACGAGCAUAAAGUUAUUCAUUAAUAGCCUCUCCUUUUCUGUAUGUUUGAAAAUUGUGUAAUAAAAAUUAAUAUGAAAAUA